rnacentral:rRNA from 1 species
UGCCUAUUGAAUAUAUUAAAGGUACAUCCUGCCCAGUGACAAAAGUUAAACGGCCGCGGUACCCUGACCGUGCUAAGGUAGCAUAAUCAUUUGCCUCUUAAUUGGUGGCUAGUAUGAAAGGACAAACGAGAGCUUAGCUGUCUCUUACUUACACCCCUUAAAUUAACCUCCGGGUGAAAAGGCCCGAAUAAUUUUAUAAGACAAGAAGACCCUGUCAAGCUUUACUAAAAACACCUGCAACCAGAAAUUUCAAACCAUCUGCUUUCCAUUUAAUAAUAGUUUAGUUGGGGCGACUAAGGACCAAACCUAACGUCCUUCCAAUAAUAAAGGAUUAUAAUCCUACAAACCUGAUCCCACAAAGGAUAAAGAGACAAGCUACUGCAGGGAUAACAGGCUAAUUUUUCCUGAGAGUCCAAAUCGAAGGAAAAGUUUGGCACCUCGAUGUUGGCUUAAGAUAACCAUAAAGUGCAGCAGCUUUACAUGGUAGGUUUGUUCACCAUUUAAAAUCUU